UACGUAGGAUCCAAGCGUUGUCCGGAUUUACUGGGUGUAAAGGGUGCGCAGGCGGACUUGUUAGUCAGAGGUGAAAAUCUCACUGCUCAACAGUGAAAACUGCCUUUUGAUACUGCAGGUCUUGAAUCCAGAAGAGAGUUGUGGAAUUCCGAGUGUAGCAGUGAAAAUGUGUAGAUAUUCGGAAGAACACCAGCGGCGAAGGCAGCAACUUGGUCUGGUAUUGACGCUCAGGCACGAAAGCAUGGGGAUCAAACAGG
rnacentral:rRNA from 1 species